CAUACAUGUUGCAGUUUUAAUUAAUGCUCUUUCAACGCCUUUUUUAUCAGAUCAACAGGCUUUUUAUUGCUCUCUAAAUUUACAUCAAUGAAACUAGAUUUUUUCUGAUACGCCUUCCCAGCUAGUUCAAGGUAGACAUGCAUUUCAUUCACUCUCUCAGAUUUAUCUAUGUACGUAUUAAAACAACCUAGUCAAUCAAAGAAUGUCAAAACAAAUAAAAUGGUUUUAAAAUAUUUGUGGAAGUCCAGAGAAGGUUUAAAAGUUUACGUGGUAUCCCACCCCUCCUGGCUGAGCCUUUGCACGCCCACCUGUCCUGGAGAAACUGGAGAGGCCUCCGGGACAACAGGAAUCCCACAUUCAUAAAAAAAAAGUUUACGCGGUGACACGUGCGUGGUCGAAAUUAAACCAUAAUGAAUAUAUUAUAACAUCAAUAUUGACGUUAAUGUGAAUUAUUGACAUUAACGACGUAAUGAUAUAUUUUCACGUUAUUUAGAUUGAAUAUCCUGCUAAUAUUACAUGUUCUCAUACAGAAAUGGGAAGUCCUCGUGCAGGAAAAAAGGAUAAAUUGGUAGACCUGGGCCAUAGCCACGAGGCAUGUUGAUCCAACUAUCAUUAUUCCGAUAAUUGUAUCGAUAUAUAUAUAUACAUAUGUUUUGUAUAUUAUAUCAUCAGUCUAUAUCAAUCCAAUGCUUGACAUAAACUUUUCCAAUUGCGCGCUAUUGAGCACUAUAACCAUAAGACUAAUUUAAAUUAAGUACUUUCUUGUUGACCAGUUGAAGACGAUUAAAUAUACUUAUUAGUUAAAUAAAAUAUACUAAUUAAUUCAAGAGAAUAAAUUCAACGAACACGUCCAAUAUCAGAUUGGUCUUCCUUUAACAAAAACGUAUUUAAACAGAAAGAAGAAACGAGAAUAAUUAUACUGAGUAAGAUUUUAUCCUGACGUUUUCUUCUAAGAACAUAGAACAUGUCAUAAGAACUAUUCAGCAAGUUAACAAGGCUUACUUAUGUACGAAGUAAACUGCUUGCACUUAGCUCCCGUCGUGUUACACAGCACUCCUUUCACGGAGGGGGGAAUGCGAGUAAUACAAUAGCGCAAGACUUACCGUACAUAAGAUCUUCACCGACUGUUAUACACUUAAAGCUAUUCUACAUAAAUAAUCUUUUACAUUUACACAUUAUAUCAUGAUAUUGUACUUAAGGAUUAUGUCUGGAAGUAGUGUGUUCUGUAAGCCUGCACAGGUACGGAUCUCAAAUAUUAAGUGUUAUACACUACGGCUACGGAAACCACAAUCUAACCUAAUUAUGCUGCGAAUCAAUUUGAGGGACGGUUUGGCGUUAAAGAAAACCAUUUGAAACUUCAAACCUGUCGGGUGGAUUCACGUCUGUAAUGUUUAUGAACUCUGCUAGUGAUUUACCAAAAAAUGGAAUCGUAAGAUCGCCUAUCUAUCCAGUGGAAUAGAAGAUAAAAGUAAAUAAUAAUAAACUGUGUCUUUGCGGUGAAAAUAAGCUUUAAGGUGGGAUUGCCUCAGGCAGGCCGACAAUUACUACCACAGACCCUUUAUUUAUCGAUAAAAUUUUUUUAUUAGAAUAGUAACUGCAACCUGAGAUUCGAAAACUGAUCGUGUCAGACCAGUACCCACUCGAUGAGAUAUGUCAAGAGGAAUAUGAAGAAGAUGGGAUUACGUUUGUAACGCAAAUAUCCUCAGAUAUUAGCGUGAUAGAUUUAGAAAGAUUAAAUUUAAUAUUCAAACGCCACUAGAGAAAAAAGAAGACUAAAUAGAACACUUGGAAAACAUGAAGCACCUCAAUUUCUAACCUCAAAUAAAUCAAACAAUAUUGACGAUAAUUUAAACGGUAGGAAACGUCGCAUACUGCCCGACCACUAAGUCCUUUCAGAAACCCAUCAAACAACAAUCAAAGUGACCCGACAGUUUGUAGAAGCUCCAUUAACAUGCAACAACACACAUAAUGCAUAAUAGCUACUCAGAACUUGAUGACCGCAAUGUUCGCUUUCAACCAACUAUGCACAGUGUUCGCCUAAACAUAACGUACAAAAAGAUUUAUAAUCGCAUUUUGAGCAAACUGAGAAAAUCACUAACAUCUUAUCGAUCUCAGACAAGUCUAUGAGUAUUUUAACUGAACCUGUUUACUCCAUUUUCACUGUAUAAUACUACGAUAAAACGCUAGAAGCGUUUCCUCGAAAUCUGUUUGUAUCGAAAUAUAUGAAACUGAGUCUACAAAUUAGUAUAUUUAUCCGACUAUGCAGAACAAAGAGAACGAAAAAUGUGUGAACGGCGGGAAGUAAUAAAUCUUGCGACUCGUUCUGUCGAUUUUUAUCAGCAAUUUGAUUAAAUCCGUUGAGCUGUUGGUUCCUCACGGCCGACCCCGCCCUACUAGGACCCUAUGAAAACAUUUACUUGUCCUUUUAAAAAGAGUUCUUGUGAUGUCAACCUUAGGGAAAACGUAUGUGUAUGUAUAUUGCCAACGCGCCCGUGUUAACUCACCCGUGAUUUGUACGCGUUCAUGGAGCAAUGAAAAGAAAUUGUUGUGACUUCGAUUUGAAGGUAGCAUAGACAAGUUAUAUUAUCUAUAAUUGAAAUUUCUGAAUGCCAAAUAUCGUACAGUAUAUACUAAGUUAAUUACUUUUAAAAUUAGCAACACUGGCUAGAAUUUCACUUAGGUUUUUCAUUUAAUGUACCGGUAACCCAAUUACAUACAACUUAUAGCAAAUACAGUUAAAUAAGCUACAACAAAAUCAUGUAUACUAAUAAGACUUUUGUAUUACUAAGACGAUACAAUAUUUUCAUAUCACUAAUAUUUUUUUAUAGCAAUCAGAAACUAUCAGUUCCCGAAGUAAUAUCAUCGCAAUGCUUCCGAAAUGCAAUCAAUAGAUACAUUCACUCAGACAUAUCUACUGCUUGCCUCAUUUAUAAAGAUUUAUGCUGCUAUCCUCCCCCUCAUUCGCUUUAUAUGUAACCGUAAAUAUAUACAUAAUAAUAUACAUAUAUACACGAAACAUAAAAUUGUUUAUUUCCUGUUCAGCUUGUUCUUAUACGCGCAUGGGAAUCAUCCACUGAAUUUCGCAGCGUGAAUGUUGCCGUGCAACUUUUAGAAUGGUUUUAUAAUUGUUAUUUUCUCUUCGUGAAGUUUUUGUUUUAUCUUUCAUGUAAAUGUAAUUACACACAAUAAGGUCAGAUUGUAUUUAUGGUAAAAUCGAAAUGGUUAUUACGUUUUAUAUGUUUUGUUGUGCUUUAAAUUAAAAUGUUUGAUUGUAA